rnacentral:rRNA from 1 species
CACGUUAUGUGGGCGACUCUAAGGAGACUGCCGGUGGCAAACCGGAGGAAGGUGGGGAUGACGUCAAGUCAUCAUGGCCCUUACGGCCUGGGCUACACACGUGCUACAAUGGUCGGUCAAAGGGUUGCCAAGCCGCGAGGUGGAGCUAAUCCCAUAAAACCGAUCGUAGUCCGGAUCGCAGUCUGCAACUCGACUGCGUGAAGUCGGAAUCGCUAGUAAUCGUGAAUCAGAAUGUCACGGUGAAUACGUUCCCGGGCCUU